AUUAGAACAGAUGCUACCAGUUUUGCUGGACCAAAUAAUCAGCGAAUGGUUUAGUCAAAUUCAGUUUGAUAUUAUUAGCAAAAUAUUGUGCAUUUAUGUGUGAGUAUUUCACUUUGUAUGAGGUGUUUUUGGUGUAUUUUUUUAUAUCGUUUCGCUGAGAAAUGCAGAGGCGAACGCUACCGAAAGAGGUCACCAAAACGCCUCCUUUACCAAAAAGUGAACCUCCGAUAAAUGAUCCUCCCUACGAAGUUAUCGAAUUUCCAUCCCAGCAAUAUUCCAAUACAGCUUUGCUAUUUGGCAAUAAAACAGCGCAAAAUAAAAAGGAAGAAGUGAAACGAAAAUGUGACCUGUGUGGUUCCUCAAACGCUCAGUACCACUGCGAAAUGUGUGUUCAACAGGCGUUUUGCGUAUCUUGCGAUCAAAUGUACCAUCGACAUCCUAAACGACAAAAUCACAUUAGAAAAAGACUGCCAAAUGCUGCAUUUAAAGGUAAAAGUGACGGUCAACCUCCUAUACCACCUAAAGGAGAAAACCUAAUGGCGCCAAUUCCGCCUCCUCGACGUAAUAAACGUGCAAGUAAAAGUGCCCCAAGUUCUCAACCGGAGACGUUCAAGAAAAAUGGCAGUAUUAUGGGGAGUUUGAAACGAUUUGUGGGAGGAAUUCAACCUGUAUCUUCGCCAUUUCAACCAAAAGUUAAUCGUAACGAUUCAAGACCUCCAAAAUUUUCCCAUUCUUUACACUCGGCCGAAUUCGAUCCGCAGACUUUGAGAAGAGACGGAGGCUACUUGGGCUGGGAACUACAGGAUCGUCAUCGCUCUGGCAGCUUCGCAGCUCUGAAUGGACCCGGUUUCUCGCCAAUGAUCCAAGCUCAGUCGAUGGCUCAGUUGAACUGUCCCAGUUGCCAUCAUCACAGUGGUGGUGCCGGUGUCGGGAUGUCGGGCUGGGAUUGGAAUCGAAGUCAAAUGAACCUGAAUGCGCCUUUUCAACAGCCUUGGCCUGGCAUGUCAACGGGUACUUGGCACGGCUCCGUAAUGUUUCCACCUGCGUAUCGCAUGCCGGCUGAAAAUUUCUCAGAUCAUUCGUCGAGUCGACGAGGCAGUAUUCGCCAGCAACGAUAUAAUCGACGUCGACAAGAAGAGGACUCUGAGAGCGAGUUGUCUCUAUCGGAUGAUCGUAAAUCGCGACGCAGAUCUCCUGUGAUACGCGAACCGUCGCCGGCUCUUUCACGUCGUAGUCGUCGUACCAUGGCUAGUGAUACUGAAGACGAUACCGUGAGCAGAAAAAGCGACCGAAGGUUCAAACGUCGCGUUCCCAUGUCUCGCGAUCCGUCUCCAGGUGUCUUUCGUUCAGCCAAAGGUUAUCGGUCGAAGAAAUUGAACGAUGACGAUGACGCCAUCUCCGUCAAGAGCUCGUGCAGUCGUAAAAGUCGUCGAUCCCCUGUAAAUCCUCAUAAAUCUUCUCAUCACAGUUCGUAUCUACGUAAAAAGGCUGGCCGCAGUUCGAGCUCAGAUUCGGACGACGAACUUACUUCGGAACGUGACGCAAACGGCGAUAAAAACGCAGCCUCUGAUUCGGCCGAUGAUCAACCACCACCACCACCACCAGUUACACAGUUACCAUCAGCUAAACAUGUCGCCAAAAUGUCACAUAUCGCCAAAGCUGCAUCUGCCCAGAAGACCCAAGUCGCCGAAAGAGUGAAAACUUACGAAAAAAUGCAAAUCAAAAAACCAGACUCGAAAAUUUCCGGUAAAGAGGCCAAAAGCGUCGCUUCUGACGACGACGACGAAGGCGACUGGGAAUGCGAACACUGUACUUAUUUGAAUCCGGAAUCUGCUCGAGUCUGCGACGUUUGUUGCAAGUCGAAAAAACCAACCAUUGUGGAAUCUAAAUCACCUACUGAACAGAUCGUCGAAUCAAUGAAAGCCUUGGAGGUCUCGUCUACAACUGAUGCCAGCCAAAAGAAAAAAGGUGAUGAAAGUAUUAUUAAUGAAGAUAAGAAGACAGAGGCAGUGGCUACGAAAACUUCCACCGGUACAUCCCCGCCACCCCAAAGUGCGUCGACCCAAACUUACGAUGUACCCAGUUUAGUGAACAAACGCAACAGAUCACUUUCAUUUGACGAUUACAGCGACUGGAAUCCGAACAAGAAGUCGAGCAGUGCUGCUUCAUUUACUAGUGAUACUAAUCAGUCUUUAUCGUUGCCAUCGAAACAAGAAUUAUCACCUCAGCCUUCGCAGUCUCCUGUAUUUAUGGACGCCGUGUUACAAAAACAAAUGAAAGAUAGUCUGGAAAUCGUUAAAUUACUAAAAGAAGCAGAAAGACAUCAAUUCACCCCAGACGAUUUAACCAUAGCCUUAAUGCACUGCGGUGAGAACAAUCCGGUCAAAUGGCUGCUUGAAAACUGGAACCAGAUGAUCGAGACAGUCGUCACAUUGGCUACGAAUUUCGGCCACGAACAACCUGAGAACACAAUCGGAACUAUAUCCUCCCACGAGGCGAAAUCCGCUUUGCAUCUGCAUCACGGUGAUAUUUGGGCUGCAGCUACCGAAUGCAUAAGGCAAAGGCAGCGAAAAUAUGUUAAAUUAAUGGCGCAAGGAAAUUUCACUCGAGAAGACGUGGUCACUGUUUUGACAGCCAAUCAUGGAGAUAUCGAAGCUGCUUAUAUGGAAUUACGUAAAAGUCAGCUGAAACCUUUUCUAAUGAAAAUUUGGGGCCCUCCUCAAGGUUUAGAUAACGAGAGCGGUAAUACAUUUCGAUUGCACGAUAAAGAUCAAUUCGUCUGCGAACCCAGAAUACACUCGAUCCUUCCAAAAAACACUUCAAACCAUUCUCAAAACACUUUCAACUUCGUGCAAUCUUGGCUUCAAACCGUCAAUGUUCCCAAUUCCGAAGAUAACGAUUUAGUCGAUUUUGUCAACUUGAAGAAUAACUUGAGAAAACACGCCAGUGCUUUUUAUCUGAAUACCAACCCUCCAUCUGGAAACUCGCUCGUAUCUGAAGAAUAUUCUGAUUCUAACGACGAUCUUUAUUCAGCAUCUAUGUCCAAAGAUCCAUUUUUACGAUACAGAAGCUGCGAAAAUUUAAACAUCGCGAAUAAACGAACUCCGGUGGUUCGUAAACGAUUCCAUAAAUCGUCCGAGUCGUUAUUUUAUAACAGAACGAGACCUAAACCAGAGAGCGAAUUUUUUUUACAUCAUUUGGCUCAUUGCCCAAUCAACGACGUUGACCAUAUCAGCGAUAUUAAUCUGAGGAACAAAUUGUUUGGUGAUCUGAACGUGAACGAGCUUGAGAUGAACGAGCCGAGUUAUCAGUCCAGCGAUUCGGAAGGUUUCGAAGAUGUUGAAAUUUCUGCACAUUCCUUAAAAGAUUAUCAAAAUUUGAAACCGAACAAUUCAGAUAUUGAUUAUCAGAACUUGCCUGCUCAACAAUCCGCUAGUAAUAAUAGUUCAGAUGAAGAUCGUGUCGUUGAAACUGAUAGCUUAGAAGGAUCUAUUCAUCAUGAAUCGGUUAAUUCGACGGAUGAUCGAAUAGAUCACGUGGAUAAUCCAACAAAUAAUGAAAAAGAUACCGAAGAAAAACACUCGCCGCAGAUGGACAUUCCGUCUUCAGAUUCGUCUGUCAAAUCAUCACCACACGAGAUCCCUUCUGCGGCUGUUCUAAUUGCAAAACAAUCAGAAACUGUUGUUCAUCAUUCAUUCUCCCAGAUCACAAAUUCUCCAGAAAUGGUCACUGCUCGAAUAACUCCUGAAAAAGCUCAUCAAACUGCGGAAGAUACAAAAGACGAAUCAGAAUCGAUAAGCAGGUCACUGUUCGACGAACUGAAAGCUCUAUAUGUAUUGGCCAAGCAAAACUUGGAAUUUUUAAUCAUUUCCAAUAAUGAUGCAUCUGUUGAAGUUGCUAAUCCAUAUUUUCCUCCUAUUCAACGUACUAUAAAUGAAGCUGUCGACGCAGUUGUAGAUCCACAAUCACCAUCUCAAGCUGCUACUUCUACUGCAAAUGAUCCUCAGUCGACUAAAAAUUACCUUAGCCAAGCUUUCAUCGAAUUAAGUUCUCCGAAGAAGUCGCUGGGUGAUCAAGUAGGUUUCAACGAUCCCAAACACGAUCGUGUAAAGGAACCGAGCACCUCUGAUGUGUUGCAACCUUCCAACGAAGAUCUCCAUUCCGAUAGCGACGAUGAUUUCGAGGACGUUGAUAACAAAGAAUCAACAGAAAGUAAUUUCGUCAGUGGAAAUUCAUCCGAAAAUGAUCUAAGUUUUGUUGAAGAGCGAGAAGAAAAAUCAAUGGAACAUAUUGAUAAAGCUUUCAACGAAGCACUGGCUGAAGAUAUAAAAGAAUACAUCGAACGAGAGGCUGCUGAAAUAAACAACAAACCAGAAAUUAUUACCAAUCGAAUUGAACCGGUUAACCCAGUGGUGAUGAACCCGCCUGCAAAACCUAUUCAUAUUAUUCGAAUAAACGUCCCCGAUGAUUUAAUCAACACUCUUAAAUACGAUGAAAGAUCCAACGUGAAAUAUAUCCAAUCCCAAGUGGCUUCCAUAUCUGACAAUCACAUUUUUAAUGAGCCACAAAACGAAGUAAGCAGCAGUGCUGAAAAUAUUUCCAGUAAAGAGAAUCCUGUGGAGGAAAAAUCUUCUAGAAUUUCUUCACCAAACAGAGCACUUUCCGAAAAUGAAACUAGUGAUGAAGAAUACGAAAAUCUCGAUGAAGAGCUAAAUGGAUAUACUUCUCAAGAAUCUGGUCAAGAAGGAAGUUUUUCAGAGUAUAUUCGCGAAGUACGAGUAAUCAACAAGGAUGCAGAUCAUAUUGAAAACGAUGUUAGCGAAGAGGAAAAAAGGCAAAUAACACAUUCUCCUGAUGAGCAUCUUUCGGACAACUCUGAGGAUAGUUUCGAGGUCGAAGUUGAAAACUGCCUUUCACAAGGACUAACCAACUACGAUCAAGCUGUAUUGGCUGCUCAGCUGAUCAAAUUGAAAUUCGACCGAUCUCAAAGCUUGGAUGCAGCCAGCGAAUGCUCAAAUAUUCAAGCUGCUAUCACAUAUCUUCAACAAGACUGUCAACUUUGUGCAGAAAAAGUCUCAAUAAAACAAAUGAUCUCAAUGCUCGAGUGUGAACACAGAUGCUGCCAAACUUGCGCCGAACAGUUCUUUUCGUUGCAAGUAUUAGAAAAGAGUAUCGUCGAUUGUGUUUGUCCAUUUUGUAAAAAACCUAAGAUAUCUGAUUUGGAUUCGGACGAAGCCAUGUUGUAUUUUAGUAAUUUGGAUAUUUUACUCAAGUCCAUUUUGCAACCAAAUGUUCACGAGUUGUUUCAACAAAAGUUGAGGGAUAGGACUUUGAUGCAGGAUCCGAAUUUUAAAUGGUGCAUCAAGUGUUCUUCUGGAUUCAUUGCUGAGCCAGAACAACUUCGUGUUUUUUGUCCAGAUUGUAAAUCUGUAUCCUGUGCUCAGUGUGGUAAAUUGUGGGAUAAAGAACACGAUGGCAAGACUUGCGAACAAUAUAAUUCGUGGUUGUCGAAAAAUAACGUUAGCUCUCAACUUUCACAAUACUUGGAAGAUUUUGGGGUAACGUGUCCUAAAUGUGAUACUAAAUUUAUUCUAGUCAAAGGUGGCUGUAUGCAUCUUACGUGUAGUAAUUGUAAGUACGAAUUUUGUUCCGAUUGUAUGAAACCAUUUACUAUGGGGAAUGACUGCCAAGUAUCCAAGUAUUGUGCUAAACUCGGUUUACACGCUCAUCAUCCUCGUAACUGUUUAUUUUAUUUACGAGAUAAAGAACCACAAGAACUCAAACAGUUGUUGAAGGAUAACAACGUUCAGUUAGAUUUAAAACCGAAGGAGAAUACUCGAUGUGAUAUACCUUUGCAAAAAGAAACCGAAGACGGAUUGGUCGAUACGAGAUGUGGAGCACGAGUCGAGGAAGCUGGUUUAUGCAGGAAUCAUUUAAGAGAGCAUUUAAGUCGUAUAAUAUGUCGACUUAAACUGGAAACUAUAGAUAUACUAACGUGCGAUGAUUUGGAAACCAUUGUAACUAGGGAAGGUAAAAAAAGACCACCUAGAGGUUACAAUACUCCCGAAAACGAAUACUUUAAAGCGUUAUAUCAGGACGCAUUUUAUCGAGCAUUUAACGGCUUUAAUCAGAAAGAACAAAUUAGAUCCUAUAGUUAUAUUUGACCUGGCUGAAAUACUUCAGGAGUUUCGACGUCGCGGAAAAUCUCUACCAAUCAGAGCAGCCAAAAUGCUCGAGUACGAAUAUCGUCGUUAUUGUAUCGAGGUAAUUAAAGAAGAAAUGCCUUUAGAGUAACGCUUGUCGAACUUAAGAGGUCAUUCUAUUCCAUACACUAUUUUGCCCAAUUCGGUUUAAAUACAAGUAUUUUUUUCUUGUUUUUA